CCUGGUUGAUUCUGCCAGUAGUCAUAUGCUUGUCUCAAAGAUUAAGCCAUGCAUGUCUAAGUAUAAGCAACUUGUACUGUGAAACUGCGAAUGGCUCAUUAAAUCAGUUAUCGUUUAUUUGAUAGUACCUUACUACAUGGAUACCUGUGGUAAUUCUAGAGCUAAUACAUGCUAAAAACCCCGACUUCAGGAAGGGGUGUAUUUAUUAGAUAAAAAACCAACGCCCUUCGGGGCUCCUUGGUGAAUCAUAAUAACUUAACGAAUCGCAUGGCCUUGCGCCGGCGAUGGUUCAUUCAAAUUUCUGCCCUAUCAACUUUCGAUGGUAGGAUAGUGGCCUACCAUGGUGGCAACGGGUAACGGGGAAUUAGGGUUCGAUUCCGGAGAGGGAGCCUGAGAAACGGCUACCACAUCCAAGGAAGGCAGCAGGCGCGCAAAUUACCCAAUCCCGAUACGGGGAGGUAGUGACAAUAAAUACUGAUACGGGGCUCUUUUGGGUCUCGUAAUUGGAAUGAGAACAAUUUAAAUCCCUUAACGAGGAACAAUUGGAGGGCAAGUCUGGUGCCAGCAGCCGCGGUAAUUCCAGCUCCAAUAGCGUAUAUUAAAGUUGUUGCAGUUAAAAAGCUCGUAGUUGAACCUUGGGUCUGGCUGGCCGGUCCGCCUCACCGCGAGUACUGGUCCGGCUGGACCUUUCCUUCUGGGGAACCCCAUGGCCUUCACUGGCUGUGGGGGGAACCAGGACUUUUACUGUGAAAAAAUUAGAGUGUUCAAAGCAGGCCUUUGCUCGAAUACAUUAGCAUGGAAUAAUAGAAUAGGACGUGUGGUUCUAUUUUGUUGGUUUCUAGGACCGCCGUAAUGAUUAAUAGGGAUAGUCGGGGGCGUCAGUAUUCAGCUGUCAGAGGUGAAAUUCUUGGAUUUGCUGAAGACUAACUACUGCGAAAGCAUUCGCCAAGGAUGUUUUCAUUAAUCAGGGAACGAAAGUUAGGGGAUCGAAGACGAUCAGAUACCGUCGUAGUCUUAACCAUAAACUAUGCCGACUAGGGAUCGGACGGGAUUCUAUAAUGACCCGUUCGGCACCUUACGAGAAAUCAAAGUUUUUGGGUUCUGGGGGGAGUAUGGUCGCAAGGC
rnacentral:rRNA from 1 species